UACGGAGGGGGCUAGCGUUGUUCGGAAUUACUGGGCGUAAAGCGCACGUAGGCGGACCAUCAAGUUGGGGGUGAAAUCCCGGGGCUCAACCCCGGAACUGCCUUCAAAACUGUUGGUCUGGAGGUCGAGAGAGGUGAGUGGAAUUCCGAGUGUAGAGGUGAAAUUCGUAGAUAUUCGGAGGAACACCAGUGGCGAAGGCGGCUCACUGGCUCGAUACUGACGCUGAGGUGCGAAAGCGUGGGGAGCAAACAGG
rnacentral:rRNA from 1 species